UACGUAGGGUGCAAGCGUUAAUCGGAAUUACUGGGCGUAAAGCGCGCGUAGGUGGUUCGUUAAGUUGGAUGUGAAAUCCCCGGGCUCAACCUGGGAACUGCAUUCAAAACUGACGAGCUAGAGUAUGGUAGAGGGUGGUGGAAUUUCCUGUGUAGCGGUGAAAUGCGUAGAUAUAGGAAGGAACACCAGUGGCGAAGGCGACCACCUGGACUGAUACUGACACUGAGGUGCGAAAGCGUGGGGAGCAAACAGG
rnacentral:rRNA from 1 species